AUUGAACGCUGGCGGCAGGCCUAACACAUGCAAGUCGAGCGGAUGAAGGGAGCUUGCUCCUGGAUUCAGCGGCGGACGGGUGAGUAAUGCCUAGGAAUCUGCCUGGUAGUGGGGGAUAACGUCCGGAAACGGGCGCUAAUACCGCAUACGUCCUGAGGGAGAAAGUGGGGGAUCUUCGGACCUCACGCUAUCAGAUGAGCCUAGGUCGGAUUAGCUAGUUGGUGGGGUAAAGGCCUACCAAGGCGACGAUCCGUAACUGGUCUGAGAGGAUGAUCAGUCACACUGGAACUGAGACACGGUCCAGACUCCUACGGGAGGCAGCAGUGGGGAAUAUUGGACACUGGGCGAAAGCCUGAUCCAGCCAUGCCGCGUGUGUGAAGAAGGUCUUCGGAUUGUAAAGCACUUUAAGUUGGGAGGAAGGGCAGUAAGUUAAUACCUUGCUGUUUUGACGUUACCAACAGAAUAAGCACCGGCUAACUGCGU
rnacentral:rRNA from 1 species